GGGCCCGCACAAGCGGUGGAGCAUGUGGUUUAAUUCGAUGAUACGCGAGGAACCUUACCAGGGCUUAAAUGUUAGGUGACAGAUCUAGAAAUAGAUUUUUCUUCGGACACUUAACAAGGUGCUGCAUGGUUGUCGUCAGCUCGUGCCGUGAGGUGUCAGGUUAAGUCCUAUAACGAGCGCAACCCCUGUUGUUAGUUGCCAGCGAGUAAUGUCGGGAACUCUAGCAAGACUGCCAGUGCAAACUGUGAGGAAGGUGGGGAUGACGUCAAAUCAUCACGGCCCUUACGUCCUGGGCUACACACGUGCUACAAUGGUAGGUACAGAGAGCAGCCAAUGCGCGAGCAUGAGCAAAUCUCUUAAAGCUUGUCUCAGUUCGGAUAGGAGUCUGCAACUCGACUCCUUGAAGUUGGAGUCGCUAGUAA
rnacentral:rRNA from 1 species